UGGCGGCGGGCCCGGGCGGAAGCAGGAAGCGGCGGAGCAGGACCACGCUCGGGUAGGUGUUUGCUGCAGGGCCAUGGCUGAGAAGUUCGACCACCUGGAGGAGCACCUGGAGAAGUUUGUGGAGAACAUCCGGCAGCUAGGCAUCAUUGUCAGUGACUUCCAGCCCAGCAGCCAGGCCGGGCUCAACCAGAAGCUGAAUUUUAUCGUUACUGGCUUACAGGAUAUUGAUAAGUGCAGGCAGCAGCUUCAUGACAUUACCGUGCCUUUAGAAGUUUUUGAAUACAUAGAUCAAGGACGAAACCCCCAGCUCUACACCAAAGAGUGCCUGGAGAGGGCUCUGGCCAAGAAUGAACAAGUCAAAGGCAAGAUUGACACAAUGAAGUGCUGCGUUUCAGUGUGACUUAGACGAAGAGCUUUUGAGACAAUACUUAGCUGCUCUUAAGAUCGGAUUCAAACACAUGUUAUGCUGUUAAAUAGGAUCAAGAAGCCGCAGCAUGUGGAGUAGACAGGUUUCCAGGUGCUCUGAAAGCUUUGAUCAGCUGUUUGCACACAAAAUUUAAAAGUCUGUUGAUUCAAGAACUUUCUAAAGUAUUUCCUGAAGACAUGGCUAAGUAUCGAAGCAUCCGAGGGGAGGACCACCCCCCUUCCUAACUUCAUCGUCCUGCCGCCUGAAGACCCUCCUGGUCUAGUGUGAGUCGCCGUGACCUUCAGGCAGGCUGUGACUGACAGUGGCACCCAUGUCCUCCAGCUGCCCUGUCCUUGUCCUCGGCCUUGAGGGCCAGCGGGGCCUGGAGGGCUUGCAGAGUUGUGCCCUGGCUGCCCCUCUGUCCCUGAUGUGCGUCUGUUCGGUCCGAAAGUUCUCAAACGGCCCGGAGUGCACGUCUUUGAGUGCGAUGCAUUUGAUUCUUCCUGGCAGAGUAGUCUUGAGAAUAUUAACUAUGCUAGGUACAUUAAGUUUUUAAAACUUCCUAAUGGUUUUCUUUUUAUGUACUGUUUCUUUUCCAUUUUAUUAUGGUGUCAAAGAAAGCUAAAAAAAGAAAAAAGAAAAAUUGGCUUAAUCUAAGAAGUACUUUAAGUUGGUGUCUUAUAUUUUCAAGUAUGAUGCAUAAAGAAUGUGUUCAGUGUAACUGUUUACAUGGAUUUCAAUUAGACAUAAGCAUACAAUAAAGCCUUUAAGUAUU